UUCCCACAAUCAAGGUUUACUUUCCACAACAUCAAAACAGCCUGGUGCAGCCCAGCCACUUCUAUCGAGAGGAAGCAUUACAUGGUGCAGUGGAUACCACGUACAGGGGUGAUACCCAGGACCUUCCACUCUCUGGCUGAUUUAGAGCCUUUGAGGAGGAGCACUGGGAAGUCCAGACGACUGUUGGAUUUUGUUGCUGGCAAGGAGGCCCUGUGGGAUGAUGGACACCAGGAAUGCAGGAUGGCAGGAAUGGUGGUGACAGGCCUCCUGUUCCUCAGUCUCACUGCAGUACCGGUGUUAUUCUUCACUCUUCAGCUCUGGAGCACUUUGAAGAUGCAACUGUGUCCGUACUGUCGCUGGAGUGGACAGCCUUGCGCAGGCGCUGAACAAGUCCUUAUAUCACUUUUGUGGUGGGAAAAGUUCUGAGGAGAUGGAAUGCUGAGGGCUCGUUUUGGCUGGAAAAACUGGUUUUGACUGGUUUGAGCCUGUGUCUUGAUGGUAAACAAGUCCACUCUUAGAGAUGGAGUCCAAGGGUCAAUAGUUCAUAUACUCCAUAUUGGAUCUUAUUUUAAAGGCAGUGAUUUACUUCAUAAACAACUAAUUGAACAUAUUAAACAGUUUACUUCUUACACCUAACAGUACAUUAGUCCAAUACUGCCACUGUGAUCAGGCUGAAGUACCUGGUGUGUGUUUGUUUGUUUUUUAUGGUGAAACUGUUGUCAGGGAACUCUUUUCUUUUUAAACUUUGUGCCCCAAGCAAACCGUAAAACAUUUCCUUUCCUGCAACAAGUGUUUGUCUUGUUCUGGGACAGAGCUUUAUGGAAAAGAGAGCUACAGUGCCCUGCUAGCAUAGAAAUGGACUGGAAAUUUUAUGCCUUAUUUAUUAAUGUAAAACAGAAGCUAUAUAAAUCCAGCUUUUUCCACAC